rnacentral:lncRNA from 1 species
CGACUUCAAUUGGAAGUCGAAUUUUUCCCGUCCUCAAACGCCUCGAUUCGGCCUCUAUAUAGGGGAUCAACGUCUCCCUCGAAGCAACCAUCAGAAAACGCCGCCCGAGCGACCCAUCCUUUUCUGCUUUCUCCGCUUGGAAAGCUUCUGUUUCCCAUUCCUUUUUGUUGAUGGAAAUCAGGAUCACCGACUCCCAAAAUUUAGGUAAGGACCGUUGGUUCUCUAAUUGAUUCUUAUUCCCAUCUUUCUAAGUCUUGGAAUCAAGAUUUAAGGCUGGAUAAUCCUCAGAUUUGAUCAAAAAGUUAGAUGCCUUGUUUUGCUGUUUGAUUCUCCUAUUUUCGAGUUUUCCUCAGUCGAUUUCCUUCCUUUUUUUUUGGCCUUCUUGCCGUCGGUCACAGGCCACCAUCUGAAGGCCUUCCAUGCCGGUCCUUCGGCCAUGGCUAAAGCCAACGGUGGAGCCUCCCUUGUAUCGGAGAAACAAGGGGGGGAAUCUCCUGUUCCGUCAACGAAGUAAAAGAAGGAAAAAAAAGGGGGACGUGACCCUGUUUCACUUUUUUUUUUUUUCUUUUUUAAAUAUUUUUUUUUAAAAAAAUUAUUCCUCAAUCUAUCCACGAACCCAACUUAUUUUUCAAAUUACCGUGGUUAUGGUGAGUUGGUAAUGACACGGCGA